UUAUCCUCUCACCCGAAGUUCUCUUGCCUUCUCCAACCUGUAUUCGUCCUCGAACAACCAAUAUAGUCCCUCAGUCGGAGAAUCAAGUCCACUCCGUUACGCUCACACCAGCGAGUGCCGCAGAUCCGUCAUACCCUUCACCGUGCAGCUUCGCCACAGCCGUGGGAAAGUGUAACCUCAACUCGAUCGCGUGACAACAGUAACCGACGGCUAUCGGACCAUCCGUCGCCCAGAUCUGCACCAUUGCCGACCAGAUCUACACCACGCUAGUCCGUUUCCCCCUAAGUACAAGUACGCAAAUGGAGCAGUCCCAAAUUCAGUUGACGCCAUCCAAAACUUUGUGCAAGCGCGGUACUAAACAGGCGCUGCAGCAGUCCGCAAACGUGCAUAAAGCAUCUUGGGACUCCGACACGGUGCGGAUUUUCCUGGAACUUGUUAUCAAGGAGUUGGACGCCGGUUUCAAGGGGAGCUUCCAUACAAUGACAAUGCAUGGAUAUAGAGCUGUCUGCAAGGGCUUCCAGGAGCAUACAAAUAAGGUGCAUGACGUCAAGCAACUACAAAACAAGUACGCGCUAAUAAAAAAGGAUUGGUAGUCGUGGUUGAAACUGAUGGACAACAGGCAUGGGCCAACCGACAUAAGUUACAAUGAAGCGACGGGUUUGAUACAAGCAUCUAACGACUGGUGGGCACAUUACGAAAAGGUCGACAAGAAUGCAAUCAAGUUCAAAACGAAACCGUUGGAGCACAUGGACCUCAUGCGAAGGGUGUACGAAGGCGCAAUAGCAACCAGCAAAUAUGCAUGGACACCAGGUGCAGCGUUCGAACCUAUUGCAACCGAUGACGGUACAUCGCCGAUGGAUGAAGAAGAUUGCUAGGACAGCAGCAGUUUGCCCCCUUUCUAGCCUGCAGCGCAGCGUAAAGACACUGUCCACCACAUUUCUGCGCUAGAGGAUGACACGUCGGUGACCGUACACGCUGCGUCGUCGCCAAUUAACACUGAUGACACACCAACAAGUGGCGGCAGCAAAUGCAAAUUUAUUCGCACAACAUGUCCACAGUGAAAAAAAAGGCAGAGUGAGGGAGCUUCGCUGUUGGCGAGUAGCAUGGAAAACCUUGCAUCUUCAGUUAAAUUACAACAACGAGAAGUCCGCGUGCGUCAUGAUUAUGGAGAUUCGACACAGGACCUCAUUGACAAGUGUAUGAGAUGGUUGUACUCGCUAGAAGGGCUGGAUCUGCAAGACCCGCUAAUUGUUUUUGGUUUGACGGUACUGGACAACCCGGCAAAUCAAGCCAUAAUGGUAUGGAUUCCGACAGACACGGCUGUCAUUAGUUGGCUACGAAUGAAGAAGGCCCAAAGUAUGCACAACCCAUCAGCAGCAAACUUCGGAAUGGAUGGUGGCUAGUUCUGAGCAUUGUCUAGCAUACUUGUCAUGUUGGAACUUGUUUGUGUGUUGGUUUUUUUUUUUUUUUUCCUUUCGAACAAACAGUGUAACAUUUUUCUUUCUUCCAAAAAACUGUGACAUUGUGCAUGGAAUUUGUACGACUUUAUCAAUCGCUUGUUUUGUUUGAUGAUGUUGAUGUUAUUAUCAACUACAUGCUUGCAGCUGUUUAGGUGAAACAGGUUUUCUCAAUUAUUGAGUUACUAUUUGUGUGAAAGGGCAUUAUGGAACAACUCUACCUUAUAGAACUGCUGCAGAUUUUGCAAUUUGUGUAUGUGUGACCAGUUGAGACAUGUACUUGAUUAAUGGACCAGAAUGAGUUUAUUUUGCAUUAUGGAAGCUAAUGAGUUUA